rnacentral:rRNA from 1 species
CUACGGAGGAUGCGAGCGUUAUCCGGAUUUAUUGGGUUUAAAGGGUGCGUAGGCUGUGCGUUAAGUCAGGGGUGAAAUGCCGUCGCUCAACGACGGAGCUGCCCUUGAUACUGGCGUGCUGGAGUACGGAUGCCGUUGGAGGAAUGAGUGGUGUAGCGGUGAAAUGCUUAGAUAUCACUCAGAACACCGAUUGCGAAGGCAUCUGACGAAUCCGUCACUGACGCUGAGGCACGAAAGCGUGGGGAUAGAACAGGAUUAGAUACCCUGGUAUUCCACGCCGUAAACGAUGAUGACUAACCGUCGGCGAUAGACAGCCGGUGGCCAAGCGAAAGCGAUAAGUCAUCCACCUGGGGAGUACGUCGGCAACGAUGAAACUCAAAUGAAUUGACGGGG